GGCCUUUUGAUAAUAAUUUAAGGUCUGGCCUGCUCAAUGAUUUAAAUAUUAAAUGGCCGCGGUAUUUUGACCGUGCAAAGGUAGCAUAAUCAUUAGUUUUUUAAUUGAAAGCUUGUAUGAAAGGUUUGAUGAAAAAGUGACUGUCUUUAUUUAAAUUUUUUAUAAAUUUAUUUUUAAGUUAAAAAGCUUAAAUAUUUAUUAAAGACGAGAAGACCCUAUAGAGUUUUAUAGUUUUAUAAAAUUAUUAUAUUUUAGAAUGGUUUUGGUAAUUUUAUUGAAUUAUUUAGUUGGGGUGAUUUAAAAAUUAAUUUAACUUUUUUAUAUGAAAUUACAUUGAUUUAUGAGUUUUUGAUCUUUACAAAAGAUUAAUAGAUAAAAUUACCUUAGGGAUAACAGCGUAAUCUUUUUUAGAGUUCUUAUCAAAAAAAAGGAUUGCGACCUCGAUGUUGGAUUAAAAUUAAUUAUUGGUGUAGUAGCUAAUAGAUUAGGUCUGUUCGACCUUUGAAAUUUUACAUGAUCUGAGUUUAAACCGGUGUAAG
rnacentral:rRNA from 1 species